rnacentral:lncRNA from 1 species
CCUGACUCUGCCGUCCUUCAAGCACGAUCGGGUCUUGCUCCGAUCUUCCUCCCAAACCUCGGGGUUCUUGCGAUCUGUCAUAGCUUCUUUGGUCUGACCCAUGCGGAAUCUCCUUCCUAUGUCCUUCUCGACCCGUGCCUGCCGUUCUUGACCCGGUAUUCCCAUAUUCAGGUCUGCUUUCAAGAUCUUUGAUCAGGGCCAAAAGAUCCGCCCUACUGACUCUUCCUCGGUAUCUUUCCGCCAGAGCGUUAACAUCUCGACUGGCCUCCUCCAGAUGUGCGGUCGCUCGUCUAUCUUGCGGGGGUCUUCCUCCGUCCCUGGCGC